rnacentral:rRNA from 1 species
UACAGAGGGUGCAAGCGUUAAUCGGAAUUACUGGGCGUAAAGCGCGCGUAGGCGGCUUGACAAGUCGAGUGUGAAAUCCCCGAGCUUAACUUGGGCAUUGCAUUCGAUACUGGCAAGCUAGAGUAUGGGAGAGGAAGGUAGAAUUCCAGGUGUAGCGGUGAAAUGCGUAGAGAUCUGGAGGAAUACCGAUGGCGAAGGCAGCCUUCUGGCCUAAUACUGACGCUGAGGUGCGAAAGCAUGGGGAGCAAACAGG